rnacentral:misc_RNA from 1 species
AUUUUGUGGCAUCUCGUUUACCCGGAAAAAUUGAUUCAUGUAUGAAGACAAUAACGACCGUGAGUUGGACUUGUCCCCCUGAUGACGUGUUUAAAUUAAAUACUGAUGGUUCUCUUCCAAAUUCGGGUGGUAUAGCUUGUGGCGGAGGGCUUAUUCGAGACUCGAAUGGCCGAUGGAUUAAGGGGUUCAAGGCUGUGUUUGGGAAGACUUCAGUUUUGGGAGUUGAAUUAUGGUCUAUCCUUGAAGGUAUGAAACUUGCCAAAAGUCUUGGGCUGAAAGAUAUAAAUGCUGAGAGUGAUAAUCUUAUUGCUGUGCAAAUUCUUGCAGGAGUUCUUCAGCCUCCAGGUGUUGUUUUAUCAGUUAUUUCUGCAAUUCAAUUCCUUUUAACUCCUGAUUGGAAGGUUACUUUCUCUCAUGUGUUGCGUGAGGCAAAUUACGCUGCAGAUUCGUUAGCAGGGCAUCUUCAUACUCAUGAUUUUGGUGUUGAAGUGUUGGAUACUCCUCCUGCAGAUUUGGUUCCAUGGCUUAUGCAUGAUCUUGUGGGUGUUGCUUACUUUAGAUCUGUUUAAUUGUUUGUAUUAAUCUCUUUUGUAACAAAAAAA